rnacentral:rRNA from 1 species
UACGUAGGGUGCAAGCGUUAAUCGGAAUUACUGGGCGUAAAGCGUGCGCAGGCGGUUUUGUAAGUUUGUCGUGAAAUCCCCGGGCUCAACCUGGGAAUGGCGAUGAAGACUGCAAGGCUAGAAUCUGGCAGAGGGGGUAGAAUUCCACGUGUAGCAGUGAAAUGCGUAGAGAUGUGGAGGAACACCGAUGGCGAAGGGCAGCCCCCUGGGUCAAGAUUGACGCUCAUGCACGAA